UACAGAGGGUGCAAGCGUUGUUCGGAAUUAUUGGGCGUAAAGGGCGCGUAGGCGGUUCGGCAAGUCUCUAGUGAAAUCUCUGGGCUCAACUCAGAGUCUGCUGGGGAAACUGCCGGGCUUGAGUGUGGGAGAGGAGAGUGGAAUUCCCGGUGUAGCGGUGAAAUGCGUAGAUAUCGGGAAGAACACCUAUGGCGAAGGCAGCUCUCUGGGACGGUACUGACGCUGAGACGCGAAAGCGUGGGGAGCGAACAGG
rnacentral:rRNA from 1 species